rnacentral:misc_RNA from 1 species
AGCAGCCGCGGUAAUUCCAGCUCCAAUAGCGUAUAUUAAAGUUGUUGCAGUUAAAAAGCUCGUAGUUGAAUUUUGGAUUCUUCCAAUUGGUCCAUCUUUUAGAUGAGUACUGGUUGUGUGGGGUCUAUCCGCCUGGUGAUACGUAAUGUCCUUUAUUGGAUGUUGCGGGUAGUCAGGACCUUUACCUUGAAAAAAUUAGAGUGUUUAAAGCAGGCUUAUGCCGGAAUACAUUAGCAUGGAAUAAUAGAAUAGGACGAAGUUGUUUUAUUUUGUUGGUUUCUAGGACAACCGUAAUGAUUAAUAGGGAUAGUUGGGGGCAUUAGUAUUCAAUUGUCAGAGGUGAAAUUCUUGGAUUUAUUGAAGACUAACUACUGCGAAAGCAUUUGCCAAGGAUGUUUUCAUUAAUCAAGAACGAAAGUUAGGGGAUCGAAGACGAUCAGAUACCGUCGUAGUCUUAACCAUAAACUAUGCCGACUAGGGAUCGGAUGAUGUUAAUUUUUUAAUGACUCAUUCGGCGCCU